rnacentral:rRNA from 1 species
UACGGGGGGAGCAAGCGUUGUUCGGAUUUACUGGGCGUAAAGGGCGCGUAGGCGGCCUCCGCAAGUCAAUUGUGAAAUCUCCGGGCUUAACUCGGAAAGGUCGACUGAUACUGCGGGGCUAGAGUGCGGAAGGGGCAACUGGAAUUCUUGGUGUAGCGGUGAAAUGCGUAGAUAUCAAGAGGAACACCUGCGGCGAAGGCGGGUUGCUGGGCCGACACUGACGCUGAGGCGCGAAAGCUAGGGGAGCGAACGGG